rnacentral:rRNA from 1 species
UACGUAGGGGGCGAGCGUUGUCCGGAUUCAUUGGGCGUAAAGAGCUCGUAGGCGGCUUGGUAAGUCGGGUGUGAAACCUCCAGGCUCAACCUGGAGACGCCACUCGAUACUGCCAUGGCUAGAGUCCGGUAGGGGCCCACGGAAUUCCUGGUGUAGCGGUGAAAUGCGCAGAUAUCAGGAGGAACACCAGCGGCGAAGGCGGCGCUCUGGGCCGGUACUGACACUGAGGAGCGAAAGCGUGGGUAGCAAACAGG